rnacentral:lncRNA from 1 species
CCCUGUGACUCCAAUUUCCUUUUCUUCUGCUUCAAUUCUAGUUCUACGUUUAAGUACGUUGGUUAAAUCUUUAACGUUUCCGAAAGUUCUUUUCCAGAAGCACUUCUCAAGUGCUUAUUCAAACAAAAAGCACAUUGGUCCUGCCUAAAGAGUACCUAAAUUGGUUGGGUUUUGUUUUGUGUGUGUGUGUGUGUGUGUAAAUAUAAGAGGUGAUGAAAUGGAGGGCGUGACAAAAUGACUGUUACACGAUGACUGUCGAGGUGAAUAAUCUAAAUUUAUGCAAAAUGCUUUUGUUGUUAGAUUCCUAGUUUUCACCGAAGAAGCAGCAAACACAUAAAUAAUAUCAAAAAAUGGUUAAAUUAUAAGGACACUUUUUUUUUUUACGUUAAACCCAAAUAUAUAUAUAUAUAUAUAUAUAUAUAUAUAUAUAUAUUUGCAUGUAUAUAUGUAUACUCUUAUGAAAUGUGUUUCCAUACAUAUAGUGGAUUCUUUUAAUAACCAAUUACAAUGGUACCAUACACAUAUAGCUAAGGAGAGCAGCAACUUUGAUUAGAGAAGUGGGUUAAUAAAAGGAAAUUAUUCGAAAUUGACAACACCGCAACUCUUAUAAAUAAUGGUGACUGGAUCGACUCUGGACCACUCCUCUAAUUUUAUUUAUUUAUUUAUUAUUAUUAUUUUGUUGUUGUUGUUGUACGAUUUCAUCAUCACUUUUAAUUUUGUGUUUGCUGCUGCAAUUUGACAGAUCGAGUAGAUCCGCCAAAUUUGUGUGGUGGCCCCCAUUUCGAUUGAUGAUUGAAGGGUGUGGAUAUAAAGGCAGGAAUGGUUUUGGUCGAUUGUCGUAAUCAAACGGUCAAAUGCGCGGUGCGGUAUGUAAAAGAAAAAAAAAUAAUUUACGGUAACUUUUUCGAUCAGAUUUGUGAUGAUUUUUACGAUUGAGUUCAAAAUGAACUAGAUGUAUUUCAAAUAUUUAGAAAACAAAAAUUGACUCUGUGGUGUAUUUAUAUAUAGGACAAACUAUUUAGUAAGUAUUUGUGUCCACUAUAUAAUGAGCAUCGGCACUGAACACAUAAUAGAAUUUUAUAACUCACAAUGAAUAGUAUUGAAGUUGUAAAUUAAUCAUACAAUGUGGUAAUAGUGUCGCUCAUCAUAAGGUAAACAUUGUCGCUCACUACAAUCAAUACUCUUAAUAUAAAUAUACGCAGGAGACUCUUUACUACCAAACAAGAAUACUCUAAUUAAUGACCCAUUUGAAAUUACUUAUAAGUAGAUUCAAAAAUUAUUUUGAAACACUUAAAAGCCAUUUUUGGCAUUUAGUAAUUUUUUUAAAAAAUCAUUUUUGCCAAAAUUAUCUAUCUUACAACAGAUUUUGAUAAGUAUGGAAGGAAUAACUUUUUAAAAUUUAUUUUUGAGAAUUUAUUUUUAUAUUUAAUACAAUUUCACGUAAAUUAUAAAAAUCUAAAAUUAUUCAUAUUCAAUUGGAAAAUAAAAUCAUUAAUUAAAUAGAUUAUUAUUAUUUUAUCAAUUAUAUUGAGAUAAUUAUAACAUAAAAAAAUAACACGAAUAAAAUGAAAAUAUUUAUUUUACCUAAUCAAUUAUUAUAUAUAAAUGUAUAAAUAAACUUUAUUCAAGUACAGAUGAUUGCUUCUAAGACUUGCAACACUUUUAAAAAUAAAUUUCACUAAAUAUUUAACUGAAUCUUUUAACAGCUGAUUAUUUUUAUAGCACAACUAAUAACAAUUAUUUUAAAAGUUACAACAUUACCAAACUGGUCCUAAGCCUUUAGGGUUAUGUUAUAUAAUUUCUAUAUAAAUUAUAGGACGUUUUAUUAUUUUUGUGGAAGAUUGCCAUACGAGUUGAAGUGGGUGUUCAAAAGAUGCUCCGAAAUUAAGAUAACCUAUCCUAAAUCUUGAAAUUAAUACGAUAUCUCUUUCAUAAUUGUUUAAGUUUAUCUUUUCUUGGUUGGCUAGAAAGGCAUCAAAAUCUUGAACUUCUGCUUCGUAGCACCACCAAUGGCUCCCUGGCAAUGAUGUAACACCUUGUUUUCAACUAUUUGGGCGCAUCUAUAAGUAAAUAUUAGUGUUUUUUUUUUUAAUUUAUCAGAAACAAUUUCUUUUUUUUUUUUUUUUUUGGUUGUAUGUGCAACUCGUGUACUUGCGCUUUGUGUGUUAUAAAACAUUUGUAACACCGAACGACAAUGUUGUUACCAAUAAUUAAAAAAAAAAAAAUUCGUACAAAUAACGGAAAAGCUAUGGUAAUUGUUAGUAAUUUAUUGAUGCUAUCUUACGACCCUAGACUCUUCCUUGUAAUUAACUCAACACUACAAUUAAUGACGACCGUGGCCUAAAUUGGCUCUUAAAAUUGGAGAAAAUUACUCAAAAUAAAUUGUGAACAAAUUUUAAGUCAAGUGCAACUAGCAGAAAGUUGGCGAAGGUUGGUUUUGAGGUUGCAUGUUUUGAGGCUGCAGCCACCCUAUCAAGGAAUGUUUUACAACAGCUGAAGUUAAAACUUAGUUACU